CUCUAUCGUCAUCCUCAAAACCCUAGCGCAAUAUGUAUCUUCUUCAACAAAUCCACAAAUCUUCUUCAGCAAAUCGACAAUGAUGAUUCCCAAGUUACCUUUUAACCAUCGAUUCUGUAGAUUCGAGGUCGCAAUUGAAACCCUAAUGUUUUUUUAUUUUCAAAUCAGUUAUCUUUUUCGAUUUACGAAACAAAGGUAUGCAAUCAAGCUUUUAAUCUUCCACCUCUUGAUUUUCUUCAUGGUAAAGUCGGUUUUUUUUCUAAUUGCUUGCGUAAUCCAUUGAUUUUGUAAGAUUUCUAUUCAAUGUUUCAUUAUUUCAAAUCUGGGUUCUCACCAAAAACCCUACCACUAAUCAUCUUUUCUUUUCCGAUUAAACUCUAUGGUGCGAUGUCGUCGUUGCAGGAGUGGCUUUGGGCAAGAUCAUUUUCUCCAAAGCAAUGAUCUGCUGGAACAUGAAUUGGUUUUAUUUGGUGUUUUCAUUUGAUGUCUAGGGUUUGGUGGGGUCGUUUCAAGAUGGGGGCAACAAAAGAAGAAGUUAAGAAAAGUGUCGCUGGGAUUUCUUCAAAGUAAGUGGUGAUUGCAGGUUGUAACGGGUCAGGUAUAGCUUUCUUAGUAGAACUAACCCAAAAGUAAAGUACUGAUUUUAGAAUGCUGAUGCUCAGGAUAGGUUCAAAAACAUCCCUUUGCAGGUGCGAUGUUGAUUAAUAUAGUUAGUGUUCUGGUGGGUAAAAGAGCUUUGUUUACCUCACUGAGCUGUGGAUACCGUUCUUGCCUACGCCGAUGGGGAAAGGUUUGUUGCCUAAUACACAUGAGCUAGCGGCGACGUCUGCGCGCUCGCUCGCGAUCGGGAAGUGUGAUUUUGCUAUUGCUAUUGUGGUUGGUGCGCGGUUGAAUUGGUUGUUGCAUUUUGGAGAGUCGCCGAAGUGGUAAGUGGUCGAAGGAUGUUAAGUUUAUUUUAAUUGAUGUUGACGAGGGUGAGAUUGAGCUUAGGAGGCCGUAUUUGGUGUUGAAUAAGGAGAUUAAGGAUGACCCGUUUUUUUUGGGGCGUACGCAUCCGUGGAUUGAAGCGAUAACGAAUAAGGUUUAGUGCUAUGGAAGUCGAGACAUUGGUUCGUUACCAGUUACCGGUAGUGGUGAUAGUGUUCAAUAAUGGUGGUGUAUAUAGUGGUGACAAAAGAAACCCUGAAAACAUUACUGGGCCGUAUAAGGAUGAUCCCACACCCACUUCGUUUGUCCCCGGUGCAGCGUAUCUUCUUCUAAUUGAAGCUUUUGGUGGAAAAGGUUAUAUUUUUCUGCAAGAAAGCCUGCUGUUAUCAAUGUCACGAUUGAUCCGUAUGCUGGUGCAGAAAGUGGUCGGAUGCAACAUAAAAAUUGAGAAAUAUAUAAGACACGAGGAUGGUGGGAGCUAAUUUGGAUGAAAAACUUCAAAGAUGGUACCAGUCAGAUUUGAAAGCUAAAGGAAGUUGAAGUGCUAAACUGGAUCUACACAUUAUAUAAAAGAUAAUAAAAGGGUUUCAAAAGAAAAGGCUCGGAUGAUUUCUCUUCAGAACGAAGAAGCGCAUGGGACUCGAGGGUUGCACCUCAUGACAGUCAAAGUAACAAGUCAAUCAAGAAGGAAGCGAGUUAUAAGCUUAGUAUGUUGAUGCAUUUAAACUUUUUUUAUAUCUUUUUUAAGUAUACUAUUACUUUUGUAGUCUUUUUUGUUCAUUUAUCAUUUGUUAAGGAAACUUUUACCUUUAUUUUAUUUAAACUGUUUUGAAU